UACGAAGGGGCUAGCGUUGCUCGGAAUUACUGGGCGUAAAGCGCACGUAGGCGGCUUUGUAAGUUAGAGGUGAAAGCCCGGGGCUCAACUCCGGAAUUGCCUUUAAGACUGCAUCGCUAGAAUUGUGGAGAGGUAAGUGGAAUUCCGAGUGUAGAGGUGAAAUUCGUAGAUAUUCGGAAGAACACCAGUGGCGAAGGCGACUUACUGGACACAUAUUGACGCUGAGGUGCGAAAGCGUGGGGAGCAAACAGG
rnacentral:rRNA from 1 species